UACGGGGGGGGGCAAGCGUUGUUCGGAAUUACUGGGCGUAAAGGGCGCGUAGGCGGCCUUCUAAGUCGGACGUGAAAUCCCUCGGCUUAACCGAGGAACUGCCCUCCAAACUGCUUGGCUUGAGUCCGGGAGAGGUGAGUGGAAUUCCCAGUGUAGCGGUGAAAUGCGUAGAUAUUGGGAGGAACACCAGUGGCGAAGGCGGCUCACUGGACCGGAACUGACGCUGGAGGCACGAAAGCGUGGGUAUCAAACAGGA
rnacentral:rRNA from 1 species